rnacentral:miRNA from 1 species
ACUGUAUUCGAGUGAGUGGAUA